CAUCAAGUCAUCAACCGAUCAUUAAGGGAAAAAUGGGUCAAAUAAUUGGAUCAUAUCUUCUUCCCUAAAUCAGAGGUAAUCGGAUCAUAUCGAUCGUAUUCCUCAUUCCUCAGAUCACUUAUUACGCCAUUAUCGAUCGGAGCUUUGUUGUUCGCCGCCUGCUCCAUCCCUACCUCUCUUUUGCCUACCUCGACCUCCCUAAAUUUGAUGCUAAAUCAGAGGUACUAUCCUUGAUCCUCCCUAAAUCCCUUCCUCGGUUUCUCCUUCUCCACUCUUCUG